rnacentral:misc_RNA from 1 species
GAUGAAGAACGUAGCGAAAUGCGAUAAGUAAUGUGAAUUGCAGAAUUCAGUGAAUCAUCGAAUCUUUGAACGCACCUUGCGCCCCUUGGUUAUUCCGAAGGGCAUGCCUGUUUGAGUAUCAUGAACACCUCAACUCUUGUGGUUUCCCACAAUGAGCUUGGACCAUGGAGGUUUUUGUUGGCCCUCUGGUCAGCUCCUCUCAAAUGGAUCAGCUUACCGGUGUUUGGUGGCAUCAUGGGUGUGAUAACUAUCUACGCUUGUGGUCGUCUCCAAAUAACCUCCAGUGAUGGAGGUUCGCUGGAGCUUAUAAACGUCUCUCCCCAGUGAAGACAGCCUUUGAACGUUCGAUCUCAAAUCAGGUAGGACUACCCGCUGAACUUAAGCAUAUCAAUAAGCGGUGGA